UUUAUGGAGAGUUUGAUCCUGGCUCAGGAUGAACGCUGGCGGCGUGCCUAAUACAUGCAAGUCGAGCGAACGGAUGAGAAGCUUGCUUCUCUGAUGUUAGCGGCGGACGGGUGAAUAACACGUGGAUAACCUACCUAUAAGACUGGGAUAACUUCGGGAAACCGGAGCUAAUACCGGAUAAUAUUUUGA
rnacentral:rRNA from 1 species